CUCAAUAACGAAAGUAGAGGGACCGAAAGUAGAGUUCCUGGAAUAAUUGCCUACGUGGAUGUAGACACGAUAUUCUUCGAAUACGAAGACGUAGCAUUAUUGUUGUCAGCCAGAAGCUUGUCAAACGCAUUGACAAUGAGGUGCUUUGGAUGUAAGGAAAACAAGCUGUCCAAUGAAUUUCCUCAGUUUGACAUAACUGAGAAUUGCAAACAUCCAAGAUUUCACUGCAUGAGGUGUGUGAUUCGACA